rnacentral:rRNA from 1 species
UACGUAGGGGGCAAGCGUUGUCCGGAAUCAUUGGGCGUAAAGCGCGUGUAGGCGGCCCGAUAAGUCCGCUGUGAAAGUCCAGGGCUCAACCCUGGAAUGCCGGUGGAUACUGUCGGGCUCGAGUCCGGAAGAGGCGAGUGGAAUUCCUGGUGUAGCGGUGAAGUGCGCAGAUAUCAGGAGGAACACCAAUGGCGAAGGCAGCUCGCUGGGACGGUACUGACGCUGAGACGCGAAAGCGUGGGUAGCAAACAGG